rnacentral:lncRNA from 1 species
AUCCUUACAUGAAUAUCUCUCUAAAUGCUUGAAAAAGUGACAUUUGAAUAUUGUCAUGCUUUUUUUUCCAUAUGAUAAUGCUAAAUGUACCAAAACUGAGCAGGAUUUUCGAACGUGCAACAUUUUACAAACGGCGCCCCAUACUUUAAAGCUCCCUUGAGUGACAAGUCCUCGAAAACUAAAAUCCAUAAAAGUGCGUCUUCCUUACAUGAAACGCCCACCUUUUUAAACAGACACACCCAAAUGAGACAUUGGUCUGCCCUCGAAGGCACUUCAGUCUUUGUGCAUGUUAUGAAAUUACCAAGAGAAUAUGCUGCAUAAUAUCUUUCCAUGAUGCCCUUUUUUUUGUGGAAAAACCAGCGGUGUGUCUCAGGCGUUUAGACAGAAAUCUUAUUUGAAUAGCCAAUCAAAUUACAUUAAUUUGCUAACAUAUGAUUUUAUAAGCUUACUCUUCCUGUUAUAGUUUACCUUGAUCAACAACUUUUUUUAAUCAUUGAAAAAAAGAAAUGUAUAUUCCAUUUUUAACCUGACAUUUUUUUUUGCAUAGAAAUGGUUUUGAUGUGGUUGAGGGUAGAAUUUCAUACAUGUUGGUCUUCAUCAAUAUCUUGCAGAUGAAGGAGACCAUGUUUUCAACGAAAAUGUUGAAACUCUGAAAACCAUCUGGGCCCAUUUGACUGCAAUCCAAUACGUCAAGAUUCCUAUAGAGUUGAAGGACAAGACAGAGGAAGACUUGAUGAUACUGGACCUCUUGCCUAGGAAAGGUUCAGUCAUGUACACCUUGACAGAUUACCUUGUCAGAAUGCAGAAUGACUGUAUAAACUGCGCCAACCCCGGAGAGAACAGACGCGUCAGUACCAGUGAAAUCAAGCCUUCCCAUGUCAUUGACUGCACCCCUGAGCAAGACUUCUUGACCAUUGCGAUGUCCAACAUUGACCAUGUGGUGUGUGAGGAUGGGACAGAAAGCACCAACUACAACUUUAAGAGCCUGGAGAGGCAGAUAGUCGACCGGUUCUUCACAGAGAAACCAAUCAUCAAUGUCAAUACAAUUCCAUUGUUUGAGGACAAAACCAGAACAACCCUUCGGGCUUUCUUCAGCAUGAAGGAGCAGCUGGUAUGGACAACUGCUCCCUCAGAACACUUUCCCUUUGGGAAACAUUACUAA